CCCUGGCCAAAGAGCCCACCUCGAUGCUACAACAAUUAUGUCCCAUUGGCCGCCCCUCGAGCCCAGAUUCUAAUAGAGAUUAAGGGUCAAGGCUAUCUUUCAUCAUGACCAUGGUCACAACAUCGAGAAAUACCUCCAACUGAAGGAUGAGAUUGAAGCCCUCAUCCACUGGGGCUACCUCGAAAGGUAUGUUUGAGGAUAACAGGAUCAAAUCACAGAAGAGCCGACUCAACCUCGGUGAUGCAGUGCAUCAAGCCAUGAUUCUAUCUUAUUUGUCAAGUUAUUUUUUUAUGGUAUUUGAUUCAAUCUAGCUUAAUUAUUUUAAGAAAAAUCGGAUAGGUGGACUUAAAUUAUUUUUUAAAAAUUUUUUUGUCAAAUCGAGAAGCCAAUCUAGAUUUGCGGAGAUCAUAUGAUUUUUCAUAGAUUUAUCUUUUACUAGAGAAGAGGGAAAGAAAAGAAAAAGGAGAAGAGAGGAAAAGGAAAAGAGGAAAGAGAAAAAGGGGAAAGAGAAAAAAAGAGAGAAAAAGAAAAAGAGGAAAGAGAAAAGUAAAAGAAAAAAGAUAGAG
rnacentral:lncRNA from 1 species